rnacentral:rRNA from 1 species
GAUCAUGGCUCAGAUUGAACGCUGGCGGCAGGCCUAACACAUGCAAGUCGAACGGUAACAGGAAACAGCUUGCUGUUUUCGCUGACGAGUGGCGGACGGGUGAGUAAUGUCUGGGAAACUGCCUGAUGGAGGGGGAUAACUACUGGAAACGGUAGCUAAUACCGCAUAACGUCGCAAGACCAAAGAGGGGGGACCUUCGGGCCGUCGUUGCCAUCAGAUGUGCCCACGAUGGGAUUAG